rnacentral:rRNA from 1 species
CAACUUUUGACGGUGGAUCUCUUGGCUCACGCAUCGAUGAAGAACGCAGCCAGCUGCGAUAAGUAGUGUGAAUUGCAGAAUUCAGUGAAUCAUCGAAUCUUUGAACGCAAAUGGCGCUCUUGGGUUCUCCCAGGAGCAUGUCUGUUUGAGUGUCGGAU